rnacentral:rRNA from 1 species
UACGUAGGGUGCAAGCGUUGUCCGGAAUUAUUGGGCGUAAAGAGCUCGUAGGCGGCUUGUUGCGUCGACUGUGAAAAACCACGACUCAACCGUGGGACUGCAGUCGAUACGGGCAGGCUAGAGUUCGGUAGGGGAGACUGGAAUUCCUGGUGUAGCGGUGAAAUGCGCAGAUAUCAGGAGGAACACCGGUGGCGAAGGCGGGUCUCUGGGCCGAUACUGACGCUGAGGAGCGAAAGCGUGGGGAGCGAACAGG